rnacentral:rRNA from 1 species
GACGAACGCUGGCGGCGUGCUUAACACAUGCAAGUCGAACGAAGAGCGAUGGAAGCUUGCUUCUAUCAAUCUUAGUGGCGAACGGGUGAGUAACGCGUAAUCAACCUGCCCUUCAGAGGGGGACAACAGUUGGAAACGACUGCUAAUACCGCAUACGAUCUAAUCUCGGCAUCGAGGAUAGAUGAAAGGUGGCCUCUACAUGUAAGCUAUCACUGAAGGAGGGGAUUGCGUCUGAUUAGCUAGUUGGAGGCGUAACGGCCCACCAAGGCGAUGAUCAGUAGCCGGUCUGAGAGGAUGAACGGCCACAUUGGGACUGAGACACGGCCCAGACUCCUACGGGAGGCAGCAGUGGGGAAUCUUCCGCAAUGGACGAAAGUCUGACGGAGCAACGCCGCGUGAGUGAUGACGGCCUUCGGGUUGUAAAGCUCUGUUAAUCGGGACGAAAGGCCUUCUUGCGAAUAGUGAGAAGGAUUGACGGUACCGGAAUAGAAAGCCACGGCUAACUACGUG